rnacentral:rRNA from 1 species
GGGAAACUUGUACUAAUACCGCAUGAGACCACAGCAUCGCAUGGUGCAGGGGUCAAAGAUUAAUCGCUGAGAGGUGGGCUCGCGUCUGAUUAGAUAGUUGUGGGGUAAACGGCCUACCAAGUCGACGAUCAGUAGCCGACCUGAGAGGGUGAUCGGCCACAUUGGGACUGAGACACGGCCCAAACUCCUACGGGAGGCAGCAGUGGGGAAUAUUGGGCAAUGGGGGAAACCCUGACCCAGCAACGCCGCGUGGAGGAAGAAGGUUUUCGGAUCGUAAACUCCUGUCCUCAGGGAAGAGCAGAAGACGGUACCUGAGGAGGAAGCCCCGGCUAACUACGUG